rnacentral:rRNA from 1 species
GAUGAACGCUGGCGGCGUGCCUAAUACAUGCAAGUCGAGCGAAUGGAUUAAGAGCUUGCUCUUAUGAAGUUAGCGGCGGACGGGUGAGUAACACGUGGGUAACCUGCCCAUAAGGCUGGGAUAACUCCGGGAAACCGGGGCUAAUACCGGAUAACAUUUUGAACCGCAUGGUUCGAACUUGAAAGGCGGCUUCGCCUGUCACUUAUGGAUGGACCCGCGUCGCAUUAGCUAGUUGGUGAGGUAACGGCUCACCAAGGCAACGAUGCGUAGCCGACCUGAGAGGGUGAUCGGCCACACUGGGACUGAGACACGGCCCAGACUCCUACGGGAGGCAGCAGUAGGGAAUCUUCCGCAAUGGGCGAAAGUCUGACGGAGCAACGCCGCGUGAGUGAUGAAGGCUUUCGGGUCGUAAAACCCUGUUGUUAGGGAAGAACAAGUGCUAGUUGAAUAAGCUGACACCUUGACGGUACCUAACCAGAAAGCCACGACUAACUACGUGCCAGCCGCCGCCGUAA